UACGUAGGCAGCAAGCGUUGUUCGGAAUUACUGGGCGUAAAGCGUGCGCAGGCGGUGAUGCAAGACAGAUGUGAAAUCCCCGGGCUCAACCUGGGAACUGCAUUUGUGACUGCAUCGCUGGAGUGCGGCAGAGGGGGAUGGAAUUCCGCGUGUAGCAGUGAAAUGCGUAGAUAUGCGGAGGAACACCGAUGGCGAAGGCAAUCCCCUGGGCCUGCACUGACGCUCAUGCACGAAAGCGUGGGGAGCAAACAGG
rnacentral:rRNA from 1 species